GGGCCUGUAGCUCAGUUGGUUAGAGCAGCGGACUCAUAAUCCGUCGGUCGUAGGUUCGAGUCCUACCGGGCCCA
rnacentral:tRNA from 1 species